rnacentral:rRNA from 1 species
AGGAGCUGUCCUUAGUACGAGAGGACCGGGAUGGACGAACCACUGGUGUAUCUGUUGUCGACCAACGGCAUAGCAGAGUAGCCAAGUUCGGAAGGGAUAAACGCUGAAGGCAUCUAAGCGUGAAGCCCCCCUCAAGAUGAGAUAUCCCACUCGAAAGAGAUAAGACCCCUGAGAGACUAUCAGGUAAAUAGGGCAGAGGUGUAAGUACAGUAAUGUAUGUAGCUGACUGUUACUAAUAGGUCGAGGGCUUGACCAA